rnacentral:rRNA from 1 species
GAUGAACGCUGGCGGCGUGCCUAAUACAUGCAAGUCGAGCGAACAGAUGAGGAGCUUGCUCCUCUGACGUUAGCGGCGGACGGGUGAGUAACACGUGGAUAACCUACCUAUCAGACUGGGAUAACUUCGGGAAACCGGAUCUAAUACCGGAUAAUAUAUUGAACCGCAUUGUUCAAUAGUGAAAGACGGUUUUGCUGUCACUUAUAGAUGGAUCCGCGCCGCAUUAGCUAGUUGUUAAGGUAACGGCCUACCAAGGCAACGAUGCGUAGCCGACCUCAUAGGGGGGUAGGCCACAUGGGAACUGGGACACGGUCAAGUCGCCUACGGGAGGCAGCAGUAGGGAAUCGUCCGCAAUGGGCGAAAGCAUGACGGAGCAACGCCGAGUGAGUGAUGAAGGUCCUCGGAUCGUAAAGCUCUGUUAUUAGGGAAGAACAAAUGUGUAAGUAACUAUGCACGUCGUGACGGUAACUAAUCAGAAAGCCACGGCUAACUACGUG